rnacentral:rRNA from 1 species
UGGGGAAUAUUGCACAAUGGGCGCAAGCCUGAUGCAGCCAUGCCGCGUGUAUGAAGAAGGCCUUCGGGUUGUAAAGUACUUUCAGUCGGGAGGAAGGUGGUAAGGUUAAUAACCUUAUCAAUUGACGUUACCGACAGAAGAAGCACCGGCUAACUCCGUGCCAGCAGCCGCGGUAAUACGGAGGGUGCAAGCGUUAAUCGGAAUUACUGGGCGUAAAGCGCACGCAGGCGGUUGAUUGAGUCAGAUGUGAAAUCACCGGGCUUAACCCGGGAAUUGCAUGUGAUACUGGUCAGCUAGAGUGUGGUAGAGAGGGGUAGAAUUCCAUGUGUAGCGGUGAAAUGCGUAGAGAUGUGGAGGAAUACCGGUGGGGGAGGCGGCCCCCUGGACAAAGACUGACGCUCAGGUGCGAAAGCGUGGGGAGCAAACAGG